UUGCGCAUCUAAAGCGACCUGUGCUUUAGAAUGGUCAACACAGGGGGGUAGAGUGUUCCUCUCACUAAAACCUGGAGCAGGGUCGUUGCUCUCUGCUUUCGGAUCCUGUCGUGAGAGACAAUU